AGUUAUGCCCCCCUUCGAAGAAGAGGGGGUAUAUUGCUUUGCUCAUGUCGGUCGGUCGGUCCGUCCACCAGGUGGUUGUCAGACGAUAACUCAAGAACGCUUAGGCCUAGGAUCAUGAAACUUCAUAGGUACAUUGAUCAUGACUUACAGAUGACCCCUAUUGAUUUUCAGGUCACUAGGUCAAAGGUCAAGGUCACUGUGACCCGAAAUAGUAAAAUGGUUUCCAGAUAAUAAUUCAAGAACGCUUAUGCCUAGGAUCAUGAAACUUCAAAGGUAGAUUGAUCAUGACUAGCAGAUGACCCCUAUUGAUUUUCAGGUCACUAGGUCAAAGGUCAAGGUCACAGUGACCUGAAAUAGUAAAAUGGUUUCCGGAUGAUAACUCAAGAACGCUUAUGCCUAGGAUCAUGAAACUUGAUAGGUACAUUGAUCAUGACUGGCAGAUGACCCGUAUUGAUUUUCAGGUCACUAGGUCAAAGGUCAAGGUCACAGUGAC